rnacentral:rRNA from 1 species
UGAGGAAUAUUGGUCAAUGGGCGAGAGCCUGAACCAGCCAAGUAGCGUGCAGGAUGACGGCCCUAUGGGUUGUAAACUGCUUUUAUAUGGGAAUAAAGUGAGGGACGUGUCCCUUAUUGCAUGUACCAUACGAAUAAGGACCGGCUAAUUCCGUGCCAGCAGCCGCGGUAAUACGGAAGGUCCAGGCGUUAUCCGGAUUUAUUGGGUUUAAAGGGAGCGUAGGCUGUUUGUUAAGCGUGUUUUGAAAUGUAAGAGCUCAACUUUUAGAUUGCAGCGCGAACUGGCAGACUUGAGUGCGCACAACGUAGGCGGAAUUCAUGGUGUAGCGGUGAAAUGCUUAGAUAUCAUGACGAACUCCGAUUGCGAAGGCAGCUUACGGGAGCGCAACUGACGCUAAAGCUCGAAGGUGCGGGUAUCGAACAGG